GGAAACCGCCCGACACCCGCGGAAAGGGAACGGCUUCUGUGUCAGUGCGUGCGGGCUGAGCCCGCCGCGAGCGCGGCCCCGGCCCCGGGAAUUGCUGUUGGCAGUGGGCAGCCGGGGCCUGUUCGCUCCCGGACCUGCAGCGCUGCCUUGGCACCUCCGAGGCCCCUCGGUGCUGCCCUGAAAUCCCGCUCCCCGGGUACCUCCCUGCGCCUGAGCUGGGCGCUGAGGAUUGAGGGCCUCGCCCUGCUGUCCACCCACCCAGCGCUAUUAUUUUCUGGUUUUAACCGGUUUACUUCGGGGGUUGUUUAGUGAAAGAAGUUUUUCCCAUCAGGGCCGGGAGAGGAGGYGUCUGGGCAGCACCUGUAGACAGUGAGUGACACAUGCAGCUUUUGAGAGCACCUCGAGAUGGCAGCUGCUGAUCGUGUCUGUGGGCCUGACAGGCCUUUCUCUGCAAAGGAUUCUUCUGGAAAUGCAGGCAUAUGCUCAAAUAGAUUAUCCCUUGCAACUGAAGGAGAAGGUUUACAGAGACAAAUAUGCCUGGGUGACAGUGUGUUUUCUCAGAUGCUGCUCACCGGACCACGACCCCGAGAGGGUGAAGAUCAGAGGGGACGCGGGAGCUGAGUCCCAGCCGUGGGCAGACUGGCAGCGUAGCAGCCC
rnacentral:lncRNA from 1 species